GGAACAAAGAGGCUUAAAGGAGAAGAAAAGGCUAAAACUAUGACCUGCUGGAUUCCCUCGCAUUGACGCAGGAAUGAGCAGGCUCUUUUCUAGAAGAGACGGCCGUGGAGCGUUAAAUCUCUCCGUAAUUGAGUUUAGAGAGGCCAAGUAAGUGAAGAGGAUGUGGGAAGAGAUUAAGAGAGAGUUUCCCGAAUCCUAACUGUCAGCUGGUGUUAGAUCUCCGCUCAAACAAGUCAUGCCCUGCUGCUCCUGCUAAAGACUGUGCCAAACGGGGGGUCCGACUACUGAGCCGCUGCUCGAAAAGGAAAAAACUCAACAGCUGCGCGGUGUCAACUGGAAUAAUGAUCUGAGAGUCGGCCCCUGGGGAUAGAGAACGGGGUCCUGGCCCUGCUAUAAGGUGUCGCAUCUUUCUCAUCUGCUCAGCAUGAGAGUCACCGAGGGUCCUCACUGGGACACUGCAGGAAUCAACAAUUGGAGUCACAGAGCUAACACUCUUUAUCACUUAGAGGCACAUUUAUCAAGAUUCGAAUUUUGAAUUCAGGUGAGUUUUUUUUAACUC